GAAAGAUGGCUGCCAGCUUGUAUUCUUCCUGCCUUGUUGCUGCUUCUGCUUGUAGAGAUGAGAUGAUCCAGCAGGGCUUACAUGAGUGCUGAGAGUAUGAGUGUAUUAAACUGCUUCAGGCAGACUGGCAUUACAUUCUACUGCCUUUCACUCACUAUGGAAAAGAUGAGAUUUCAGCCGAGAGUAAGGAUCAACACAAUACCACCAUUGUUUCCCAAAUCAAGACUGGACAAAGAGAAGGGCGAUGGGUUGGCAAAUGGAGAAGAAACACAUUUUCCAUGAAAGCUGAUCAGAUAUGGCUAAGUAGCUAGCUAAAUGUCUUGAACAAUAGUUUUCAGUCAAAUUAUUUAACAAUUUUAAUACUACUCUCAUAUCUCUAAUGUGCAGUUAUCUCACUAUGGCAUGGGUGGAAGAUGCUCACUUCAUGAGACCUGUGACGUUUUCUGUUUUAAUUAGUAUAUAUAGGUCAGAGGUUUUUCAAGAUAGAAACCUAAGCUUCUCGAUGUCUCUGGUCAAAAGUGACUCAAAAACAUUCCUGAAGAAAACAUCAUCCAAAUAAGUGUCAGAAAUACUACUUGAUGUCAUGUUCCUCUACCCACAUGACUCUGUUCUUCCAAUGAAGAAAUGAAACUAUUGUUUCUUACCUCUUUUGACCGUGGACUGGAAAAGAGCAAACACAGUGGAAAUCUAUAAUAAGGACAACCAACCUGGGGAAUUACAGACCAGUCAUCUUAACUUCAGUAUGCGGAAAGAUAAUGGAGCAAAUAAUUAAGCAAUCAAUUUGCAAACACCUAGAAGAUAAUGAUGUGCUGCAGCUAAUUUCUGGACUUGUAAUGGGGGGAAUAAAAAAGACUGCAUUUCAGAAGACAGAUCGGCUUCCAGAGAGAAUCCUGAGAGGAAACUCCUGCAGCAACUUAAUGGCACUAACCCAGCCAAGAAGUGUGACUUCCAGACUGAGAGAAUCAGAACAUGAGUCUGGGAAAAGCCAACAGAAGAUGUGAGGUAGGAAGCAGCAAGGGAUCGGGAGGAACCAGUUUCAGCUGCUUCAUAUAGGGUCUCUGGGAUGGAACUCAGAGGAGUGGGUAGCACUGGUUUUCCCCUACCAUCCCCAGUAGAAGGAAUACUAAGGCAUCUGGAACAAUGGGGUCAGGACCCCCAGGGGCCUGGAGUUGUCAACCAUUCACUAGGGACAUUGGUCGUCUGGUUCACCACUUUCUUCACUGCCCCAGAAGGGGAUAGACUACUGUUGACCCAGCCAGCUGGAAUCAUAACAGGAACUAGAUGAUAAUAUGGGGUAAACUGACUCAGCCCAACACCCACUACAGCCAUGAGAGGGCACUAAUGGCUGAAGGCAGCCCUGGGCAUCCUUCUUCUACUUGCUCUAAGGAAGGGAUUUGAACUUAAGUUCCCACAUUGCAGGAGAGUACCUUCCCCACUCGACUAUGGGAUAUUCUGAUGGGAGAACAGCUGUUUCCUUCAGUCUCUCCUGUUGAAACUGUUCCACUUUGUAUAGAUAAUUAAAUAGCCAUUGGUGCAGGGACUUGGGUCUCCUACAUGCCCAGAUUGAGUACCCUAACCACCAAACUAUAGUCAUUCUUACUCUUUUUUUUUCCUUAUACGAAUGACUAUUCUUUGUCAUUCAUAGUGGCAAUUGAUAGGCAUUCAUGAUAGCCAGUUUGUGACUGUAGUCUGAAAAAUUUAAAUGUUUUAGUAAUGUCAAAACAAACCAGUUCAUUUCAACAUUACCAAAACAUUUCAAUUUUUCCAUUUGGUCAAAACUAUUCAGUGAAUUCAACACAAAUUCAUGAAUAGUUUCGAGUU